AUACUUACCUGGCCGGGGAGAUACCAUGAUCCCAAAGGUGGUUUGCCCAGGGCGAGGCUUAGCCAUUGUACUCCAGAUGUGCUGACCACUGCGAUUUCCCCAAAUGUGUGUUUCUGGUAAUC
ensembl:snRNA U1 U1 spliceosomal RNA